rnacentral:miRNA from 1 species
UGUGGGAUGUGGGAUGUGGGCU